rnacentral:rRNA from 1 species
AGAGACCCGAAGCCGAGUGAGCUAUCCAUGGGCAGUGUGAAGCGGAGGUAAGACUCUGUGGAGGCGCGAACCGUCUUCAGUUGAAAAUGGAGCGGAUGACCUGUGGAUAGGGGUGAAAGGCCAAUCAAACACGGUGGUAGCUGGUUCUCCGCGAAAUGCAUUUAGGUGCAGCGUCGUGCGUUCAACGAUGGGGGUAGAGCACUGAAUGGGCUAGGGGUCCUACAAGACUACCGACCCCAAUCAAACUCCGAAUACCAUCGUUCCAGAGCACGGCAGUGAGACCUCGGGGGAUGAGCUUCGAGGUCGAGAGGGAAACAGCCCAGACCGCCGGCUAAGGUCCCAAAAUCUGAACUAAGUGGUAAACGAUGUGAGAUUGCGAAGACAGCCAGGAGGUUGGCUUGGAAGCAGCCAUCCUUGAAAGAGUGCGUAACAGCUCACUGGUCGAGUGAUCUUGCGCGGACAAUGUAACGGGGCUCAAGUUCAGUACCGAAGCCGCGGAUGCGACUCUUUGAGUCGUGUGGUAGCGGAGCGUCGAGCGUGCAGCGAAGCGGCGGGACAACCCAGCCGUGGAGCGCGUUCGAGUGCGAAUGUUGGCAUGAGUAGCGAAUGAGGGGUGAGAACCCCCUCCGCCGUAUGUCCAAGGGUUCCUGGGCGAGGCCAAUCCUCCCAGGGUGAGUCGGGAGCUAAGGCGAGGCCGAGAGGCGUAGUCGAUGCACAACUGGUUGAUAUUCCAGUACCACCAUGUUCGCGUCCGUCCCAAUACUCUGUUGCUAAGGGGCUGUGUUGACUUCGGUCAACGCGAACCGACCCACAUUGUUGCGGGAAGCUGUAGGGGGACGCAGGAAGGUAGAUGAACCCGGUGAAUGGUAGAACCGGGGUAAGCGUGUAGGAGGAGGACCAGGUAAAUCCGGGCCUCAUAAACUCUGAGACGUGAUACCGAGCCGCUUCAGGCGAAGUCAUUGAUCCUAUGCUGCCUAGAAAAGCCCAGCAGCGAGUUGACAUGGUGCCCGUACCCCAAACCAACACAGGUGGACAGGUAGAGCAUACCAAGGCGAGUGGGAUAACUAUGGUUAAGGAACUCGGCAAAUUGCCUCCGUAACUUCGGGAGAAGGAGGACCCCAGUAGCGUGAUGAGACUUGCUCUCUGAGCGUGAAGGGGUGGCACAAAAUUGAGGGAAGCGACUGUUUACCAAAAACACAGCAGCGUGCUAAGCCGUAAGGCGCUGUAUACGCUGUGACUCCUGCCCGGUGCUGGAAGGUUACGGGGAUGGGUUAGUCCUUCGGGACGAAGCUCUGAACCUAAGCCCCAGUAAACGGCGGCCGUAACUAUAACGGUCCUAAGGUAGCGAAAUUCCUUGUCGGGUAAGUUCCGACCUGCACGAAUGGAGUAACGACUUCCCUACUGUCUCAACCAUAGACCCAGCGAAAUUGAAGUACGAGUAAAGAUGCUCGUUAGCUGCAGAAGGACGGAAAGACCCCGUGGACCUUUACUAUAACUUGAUGUUGUGUUUUGUCU